ACCUUUUUAGUAUAUUUUGUACAACUGCCUUCCAAGCAGUAAGAUUAGAUGUUUCUAAAGAAGGUAC
rnacentral:tRNA from 2 species